CAGUCGCCGCGGUAAAACGUAGGUGGCAAGCGUUGUCCGGAAUUAUUGGGCGUAAAGGGCUCGCAGGCGGUUUCUUAAGUCUGAUAUGAAAGCCCCCGGCUCAACCGGGGAGGGUCAUUGGAAACUGGGAAACUUGAGCGCAGAAGAGGAGGGUGGAAUUCCACGUGUAGCGGUGAAAUGCGUAGAGAUGUGGAGGAACACCAGUGGCGAAGGCGACUCUCUGGUCUGUAACUGACGCUGAGGACGAAAGCUAGGGGAGCAAAUGGGAUUAGAUACCCCCGUAGUCCCUGUCUCUUAUACA
rnacentral:rRNA from 1 species